rnacentral:lncRNA from 1 species
CUUCUUUUGAGAUCUUUGCUGUGUUUCAGACCAUUGCUUCCCAGGAUAGAAAGUUUUGAACAGUGCCUCCCCAAGAAGUGUGAUGAGAAAUGGCUUUAGGAAACAAUACCCAGAGAAGUUAUUCCAUCAUCCCCUGCUUCAUCUUUGUUGAGGAACUUCUUAUGAGAUGGGAGGGGAGUUCUGGAAACUCUUGGAGGAACAUUAGGAUGCCAGUGAGGACAGCUACCAUGAGCCCAUGUCUGCUAACAGCAGCCUCUAGUCAACUCUGCCAGCUGCUCCUGAUCCAACAGGGCCCUGAGCUUGCAGAUCUUGAGUCUUGAGCAAGGAGGGUCAAGUGAGACACUGGCACAGCUUGCCGAGAUGCUGCAGCUUCCAAACCCUGAACCUUCAACUACAGCAGGAGAACAAACCCUGAACCUUUAACUGCAGCAGGAGAACACAUGGAGUCUCUGUUUACUAAGGUUGGAAAGUGGAAACUCCACUGAUGAUGAAAGUUAGAAGCUGGUAGCUUCUAGCCCUGGGGGAGCAACCCCUGCUCCACGUGCAGAUCUGCAGCCAUGAGAAGAGGUUCAGUGUCAAGGCAUCUCCCUGGAUGAGAGCUCUGCACAGGGAAAUAAUUGAACCAGCUGGACCUUAACCAUGUGGCAAGAGAAAAUGGUGAGUGGUAGUGUUGAGAUAUUCUCUACCAGUGAAGAGUGAAGUCCACCAUGAGUGCCUUCCUUAAUACUGCUGUUGAGGAGGAGGAGAGUAUGAAGAGGACUGGAUGGAUCUGGUCCACAGUUGAGGUCACAAAUCACAGAAUAGUCUGAGUUAGAAGGGAUCAAGUCCAGCUCUUAAGUGAAUGACCCACACCUGUGUUUGUCCUGCUGAUGUCAGCAGCAGGGUUUGGCUUCUGUGUCCAUGCAACUCUCUUUGAGGAUCUGUACUGCUUAGAAGGCAAUCAUCCUGACCAAGUGGAGCAAAAGCAGCUUUGCCAGCAGCCUGGCUG